rnacentral:rRNA from 1 species
GAAGGCCUUCGGGUUGUAAAGCACUUUAGGUAAGGAAGAAAAGUCAUUGGUUAAUACCCAAUGACCAUGACAUUACUUACAGAAUAAGGACCGGCUAACUCCGUGCCAGCAGCCGCGGUAAUACGGAGGGUCCAAGCGUUAAUCGGAAUUACUGGGCGUAAAGCGCGCGUAGGCGGUUUGACAAGUUGGGUGUGAAAUCCCCGGGCUUAACCUGGGAACUGCAUUCAAAACUUUUAAACUGGAGUACGGGAGAGGAGAGUAGAAUUCAUGGUGUAGCGGUGAAAUGCGUAGAUAUCAUGAGGAAUACCAAUGGCGAAGGCAACUCUCUGGACCGUAACUGACGCUGAGGUGCGAAAGCGUGGGUAGCAAACAGGAUUAGAUACCCUGGUAGUCCACGCCGUAAACGAUGACAACUAGCCGUUGGACUUUCGGGUUCAGUGGCACAGCUAACGCAU